CUACGCCUUAGUGGACGUGUGUGUGUGUGGUGACCACUGCUCUGCAGGCUUUUGCGCUGCUUUGAAAGGGCCCUUCUCUCUUUCUCCUGACGGCACGCCAUGAGCAGCAGCGUUUGGGCUCUGGCCGUCGCAUCUGCCUCACCUGCGGAUUUUCCGUCUGGGGAUGCGAUGGAACAGAUAAUAUGUCGCAGCCUCGAAGAGAACGCGUAUAGCGUGCAGGGGUUUUGGCUCUGGCAGUCCAAUUUUAUUCAGCUGCGCCGCCGCCGUGAGAAGCGUCGACGACGGCCCCGCAAUGACGCUGCGUCGCUGACAGAGGAGGGCAGCGGGGAGAGCGCUUCGACCUGCAGUCAAACCGAGGAAGCCUCGCUGCAGCGCGCUGAUGAAAUUCGUGAGUACGUCUCUGCUGUUCUCCACGCCACCGGGUACCCCUACCGAUCAGCCUCAACUGCCGACAACGCACGGGAAGGUGCUGACGACUCUGCUCCGCCCACAGUGAACGAUGCCCAGACGUCGGCAAGCAGUGCCGGCCUCACAUCGGCUUCGCUUUCUCCAGCCGUCAGAGAUCCCGCUGGGGUGUCCGGUGAGCCGCCGCGGAAGGUCAGCCGCGGUGAAGGGACUGACGCGACUUCACGCAUCCCUUCGGCGCCCACUAGCGCCCUCGCAAAGCUUGUGGCCAAAGCCAGGGCCCAGCAUCGCGAUCUCGUCGAGCACGCUCCCGCGGUAGUCGCGACUGUGGCUGCGAGGCGGGCCCCGCUGGACGAGCCGGGGAGCCAGCCUGGCAUGGGAAGGAAACGGAUUCAAUUUGAUGAUCCUCCUCUGGCGAACAACCCGCAGCUAUCGCGUGGCCGCCACAUCCGCAGUGACAACCACAGCAGUGAUGACGACGAUAGUUUUACGAUUCAGCUUCCAGGCCGCAUGGGGCCGCAAGCGCCAUUGGAUGCCGGUAAGAGUGGUGGGCACAACGUCGACGCCGUGGCAGGCGUCGCCGGCGGCGCCGAUGCGGCUGCUGCUAAGCACCCAUCACAGAUGACUCGAGCAGAGUUUCUCAGCCAGUUCAAGCGAGCGCCACGUCGUGGCGAGGUCGGGCAAACUGCGGAGGAGAUCGCAGCUGCAGAGAAACUGGGCUAUGUCAUGUCCGGCUCCCGCUCCGUGGCAUCUCGCAUGUAUGUGGAUCGCAUCCAGCGGCAGUUGCAUGAGCACGAGGCGGCGAAGCUGCAGCAACAGUUCCGCAAGGUCGAAGAUGAGCGCAUGGACGACCAACUGGUGCUUGAGCUUGCGCAGUUCAUCAACGGUAAGAAGAAAAGCUGAGCUUGUGCAGCCCUGCCAGACACUCUGUUGCUUACUCGAAAAGGCAGAAAGGGAUCCACGAAGGGCAGUGUCACCCCCUCCUCCUCCUCCUCCUUCCAUCGAGGUGUCUAGGUUGUCCUUGUCGGCAAACGUUUGAAAGCUCCGUGCCGCUUGGAUACUCUGAACGACCGUUCAGCGCUUGUGGCGUGCCGUGCAGCAGCUGCCUGACUUGAUAUGCUUGAGAGAGGGAGAGACGCACUAAGCAGGGAGCACUCAGAAAGCGAUACAAAGCAGGAAAGCACAGGGCGACGCUAUGACAUGAGAGGGCAAGGAAGAGUGGGGGCGGUUACCCUGAAGAGGACCAGCCAGGUUGUAACGCCGAGGAGGCUUCGAUAGUGUGUGGUGGCACUGCGUAUCUUACACUGUCCUGCACCUUGUAGUAGAAAAG
rnacentral:misc_RNA from 1 species